AAUCAGUAUUGAUAUGCAUUUUCAAGGAAUGGUAAUGGCGGGGGAUAUAAAAAUUCAUAUAAAAAUCACUGUGGUGAUUUGCAAGAGCAGAAAAUUUAAGGGGUUUUUUUGAGAAAUCUCUCGUGAACAGAUUGAGAGUGGUGGGAUUUUUGGGGUCCAUUCACUUGCCUGCCUUUUGGAUAAGAGUUGCUAAAUGGAAGCCAUCACAAGACGAAGCACGUUUCCUGCAUGGUGUUUAAGAACCUUUCACUGUAAUUCAGGAGCGACACUAUUUCUGUCAUCGUUUUCGUGGGACCAGGUCGAAGAACACAACAUGUUUUCUUCUUUCCAGAGGCGCAUGCUGCAUUACUUACAAAGCCGACAAAAGUAUUUACUACACCGAAUGAUAUUAGAUUUACAAAAAAAUCUUUCGAAUAUUCAGGGAUAAUAUUCCAGUCAGUAAAAUCCCAAAUAAUAGAUAGAGAUGAGGUUCGUAACUUUCCUUGGGACUGUGGGCCAAAGUUUGUGUCUUUUAUAAUUAGCUAAUCUUUUAAUUUUGGUAAUCUGAUUGAUUUUUUCUAGUAAAAAUAACUGGUGAUUAAUGUCCGAUCCCGAUGAAAGGUCUCAUUCAAGAAAGCUACCUCAAGAACCCGUUCAUUGUUUUCCCAUUAAAUCCUUUCUCAUAGCAUAAAUGUGCCACUGCUACCGCUUUUGGUAAUACCUGCUGUAAACAAAGUCUCGUUUCAAUGUUUGAAAGCCUUGUUGUGUUGCGUUGCUUUAACUAUUUUUACCAGUCUAUUUGUCCCUUCAGAGCCAAGUCCGCAUGCACCAUAAUUAUAAUGGCAUUGUGAUAAACAGGGUGCCUAGCUGGUGCUUUAACUGCAUAAACUUAUUUGGAAAAUAUUGUUAUGAUUGAAUCCUCAAGCUCAACAAAUCUCUUUAUGAAGUCUUCACCCAUAACAGUUUUUUGAAGCUGAUCAACACACACACCUUGGAUCAUGUCCAAUGCAAAACCAGUAAUCAACUCACCUUCGAAAUAAUUCCAUUGGGGUAGUUCCUAAACCUCCAUUGUUGCACAAUAAAUUCACCUUCAAGUCUAUUCAAUGUUAGUUCUUUCAUCUGCACUAACAAAUAGACGCAAACAAAAAGAGAGUAUGAAAAAAAGAAUAAUUUGAUGUGUUUGAGGUGCAGAGAAUCAACACCGUAAACAAAAAGAGAGCUUCCUUGGCAUCACAAGUCAUAGGGAUCUCACGCCAGAUCUCCACUUUGAAAAACUUACAUAUUAAUUUUUCUAGUUUUCAACACCCUUCAGCCGAAACCCACCUCUCUAAAAACUCCAUGCCAAAUCUCCACAAUACAUUCCAUACUGUCUUUUUUAUGUAAUUUUAUGUCUGACUAAAUAGCGAGGAACCAAGAUCUUUUUUUGCCCCGGUUAAACUCAUGUAAGCCAAAAUUUCAGCGGCUUUGAUGAUUAUUAUUUCUGAAUUUUUCAGUUUUAAGGUGUAAGAGUGAUUCUUGCAUUUUAGUUCUUGAACGAACUGAAUCUGACUUAUCGAAGAUUAAUUGGCUUCGUGGCAUCAUUCUACUCAAUCCAAUAGUGUUGGUGCCUUGGGGCAGGUUUUCAUUGUGUCACACUCCUAUCAGACCUUUUUCGGCUUUCCGGGAUCAAAUCUCAAUCUUGAUUAUGGGUUGCGUGACCGCGUGACACGAGGUUCGCAUCAGUUGGUAUCAGAGCUAGGCUCUGAAAUAAGGUCAUAUCCUUCUAUUAUUCUCGUUUUUUUAGUGUUCCUUUAAGUUUUUCAGUGUUUGCGUUCAUCUUCUUGUUCUUUAUGUCCGCGUUAUCUAAGCAAAAAAAAAAAAAAGAAGUUAUAUUUCUUCUUAUUAUUCAUAUUAUGUCUAUUGGGGGCAAGAUUACAUCAUAAAUCCAAUUUCCCACCAAAUCAAUCCAUACUCCGUAAACUCAAUUAUCACCAAUUUCACCUUCUUUUGUUUAGAAUAGCUAUGGCAAUCAAAAAUUCAAUCUACCUUUUUCUCCCACUCCAAAUAAGCCUCGGGAUCGUUUUUACCUUGAAAGUUAGGAAUUUUCAGUUUAAUUGUGUUCAAGUCCCCAUCCAUUUCUUCAUGAUGUGGACCAGCCCAGAAACACCAACAAGGACCCAUUACAUGUUCCAAAUGGUCCAAUGACUCGGUCCAAGACAAAAGCAUUGAAAGAGGCAUUGAAUGCAUUGGUUUUGAACGUUUCAACCAAGUCAGAAUUGAAAACUCCAUUAGAGUAUCAAGAGGAGACCCUAAUACAUCUUAUCCAUGUGCAAGAGGGAUCCAAUACAACCUUAUUUGGGCCAUGAGAUGAGGACAACGAAAAAAACAAAAGAAUCCUACUACAACUUGGAAACAACAUGGGUGGCUACCUUUUCCUUUUAUUUUUGGGAUUAAGGGGCUGCAUUGAAGGCUAUAAAUAAGCCUUGAAUUGGUUCUGUAAUAUUUUACUUCCUUCUUUUCUUCUCAUGGCAGAACAUGGAUUUAAUAUUAGGGGCUUUAUUCUUUUUUUUUUAGCAACAGCCCAAGGCUUGUGAUGAUUAUUAAUUCUGAAUUUUUCAGUUUUAACGUGUAAGAUGAUUCUUACAUUCUUCAGUUCUUGAACGAACUGAAUCUGACUUAUCGAAGAUUAACUAGCUUCGUGGUGUCAUUCUACUCAUUCCAAUAGUGUUGGUGCCUUGAGGCAGGUUUUCAUUGCGUCACACUCCUAUCAGAUCUAUUUCGGCUUUCCGGGAUCAGAUUUCAAUCUUAAUUAUGGGUUGCGUGACCACGAGAUUCGCAUCAGUUUUUUGUUCAAGAUCCCUUAACAAUUUGAUUUUCCCUUUUUCUAUUUUGUGAAUAAAAUUCUCUUAAAGUUGAUUUAUUAAAAUAAUAUUUAUGGAUCCAAUUAAGUCAUUUUUAAGAGAAUUAGAGAUUUUUAUGAUAAUAUUAGCAAUUUCUUUAAGAAUAAUUAUAUAUUAACUUAAAAUGCAUAAAUUUUAAAAUAAUUUGCUUGUUAAUUUUGAAUGAGAAUAAAAUAUCUAUUUUUUUAUAAUUUUCUUAAAUUUAUUAUUUCUAAAUUUAUUCAUAUAGUGAUUUCGACGAUGUUUCUGACCCAUGACAUCAUAAAAACCUUAAUAAAUUUAUUUCUAACAUCAAAGCAAUCUCUAAUCACUCUAAAAACUUGAGAUCCAACCAAAUAGAAAACAGUUUUACUAGUCUCGAUCUACUUUCUGUAGUAUGUUCAAAGAAAAAAAAUCAUCUUCAAUUAACUCUUCUCUCUAAGGAUAAUCCAUUGACACCACGAUAAACUUUUUAUGUGGUUGGAAUGCAGAUGAAUAAAUUAUUUCUCUAUCCUCUUUUUUUUUUUCCAAUGACUUGAUCUCUUCUCUCUCAACACCAAAGGCUGAAAUGUAAUAAAAAUAAAUAAGUUUAUAAUUGAAAUGUGCAAAAUUAAAAGCUCUAGAGACUAAACUUAUUUUUUUAUAUAAAUUAUAAAACUUAAAACCAUAAACAAUGAAAAAAAAGAGAGCUAUUUUUAAUUUUAAAUUUGGUCAUUGUUAUUUUUAUAUAAAUUAUAUUGUAAAAAAAGUUGUUAAUAUUAAUUAAAAUCCAUCACGGAACCUAAUCUUCCUUUUAAAGAGUAAAAGAUAGACGUGCAUGUAGAUAUUUUAUCUUGUGCCACAACACCCUCAUCCAUUUUUUUAUUUAAUUAUAUUAAAAUAAAAAUAGAUUUUUGUAAGACAAGUAAUGAUUUAGAUUAUGUAUAAAAAUGUUAAUUUUUAGUCUGAAUUCACUUUUUCAUAAUAAUAUUUGUUUUUAACAAAAAUGAUAUUUUUUUAGCUAUGUGGUUUACUGUAUUAAAACUAAAAGUAAUUAAAAUAAAUAUUUGAAAAUAUUUUAAAGACUUCAAAUAAUACAAAAAAAAAUGUUUCUCUUUAAUCAAAAUCCCUUCUCUUAUUUUUUUCUUGACAAAAACAUGUUUUUUUAAUGAUAAAUAUUCUUUAAAAAAAACUAUCAUAAUCGUCAUAGAAAGGUUGAUUAAAAAAACAAAACAAAUGAUGGAUUGAUAAUUUUUAAUUUAAAUUAUUUAAAAAUACAAGAAUUAUAAAUUUGAGAAACAAUAUGUAAAAAUUUAUAACAAGAAACAACAAAAUAGAUUAACAAGUAAAUAUUUUAGAAACUUAUGCAUAUUAGGUAAUUAAUGUAUAAUUAUUUGUAAGUAAUUGUUAAUAACACCAUAAACUUAUAUGAAAAAAAUGGCAUAAUCGAAUAGUUAUGUAAAUCUUUUUUUAAUAAGUUUAUUUAAAGAGAAUAUUAUUAUAAAAAAAAUUUAAAUAAAAAACAAUCAGAAAAAUAUUGAAUGGGUAUUGUAAAAAGAAGGGUCAAACAUGCUUGGGCUAGAAAAAUAGGUCAUAUGUCUAUUCUAUAAUUAAAACCUCAAAUACACCUAGUAUUUUUUAAAGAGAAGACAAAAAGUCAGUCGAUUCUAUUUUUAAAAAAUUAAAUUGACAACGAUCACUUACUUAGAUAGAUAAUGUGUCAUCCCUUUUUCCAACCUUUUAAAUCAUUAGAGGUGGGUCUAUAGACUAGAAAAACAAGGUCCAAGUUUUUGCACCCAAAAUCCAUAUUUAAACCAUUUUUUAUCCAAGAACAUGAAAAAAUACCAUAUGAACUUUUAAAAUCUCAUUUCUAACAACAAAACACAUUUUAAUUGGUCUGAAAACUAAAAAUUAUAUCAAAUUUUUUUUUUCAAGUAUCAAUCUAAUUUUCCUAGCACCAUUAAAUGUAGAAACCAUCUACUUUGAGUUCCUCUUUUGAAGUUGAAUUCAUAGUCAACAAAAUCAAAGUGCUAUUGGUGGUCAGAUUCUGCCACCCUAGAGCUUUUUGUCUCAACUUUUUUGACAUCUUUCUCUUUUAUUUUUCAACCUAUAUGGACUAAAAUGUGGAAAAAAAAUUCACAACCAAAAUGUAAUAACAUAAAAAAAAUAAGGAUGAAAUAUGUAAAAAUUAAAACUUGAGGGAUCAAAUGUAAUUUUUGUGUGCCAUCUAUGGAAAAGGUUUUUUAUUCUUCUUUUAUGUAAAUCUUAAUCCUUAAUCUCUCAAUUUAUUUUUUAACAAAAAGUUCAAACUUUAUUUUAUAAAAUUGAUCAUUAAUUUUAAGGUUAGAACAUUUAACAAAAAAUAAACAAAAAAAGAAAAAACAUAUUAAAAUAGAUUUCAGUGCAUGAAAACUUAACUUCAAGAGAUGAAAUUAAAAAGAAAUGAACAAUGAAUUUAGCAAUCGAAUUAUAAACGUGCAAAACUAUAGAACUAAAAUAUAAAAAAUGACAAAACAUAACCAGUAAAUGAACAAUAAGCUGUGAGUGUGUGCAAUUUUUUUUUCAUAGUGAAAUGCGGUUGUAAUUUAGUUUUUUGGUUAAUAAUUAGUAUUUAACCCAAAAUCUAACCAAAACCAUGUUAAUAAUCAAGCACCCUGCCCGUUGGGUUAUUCCUCUAUUUUCCCUUUAUCUCUUCGUCUAUUUUCAAGGUAAUAUUUUCUCAAAUUUUAUUCAUAGUUGCUUAGUUAGAUAUCCCAAAGUUUUGUAUCAUUUUCAAUAAUUGAAGUUUGAUUUUGAAAACUUUAUUUGACAAAGUCUAAAUUUAACAUAAUUUUUUUAACUAGAGAUUAAAUUAAUUGAUUUUAUGAAUUGCUUAAAGUAAGAUCAUACUAUAUUGAUACUCAAGUAUCUUUUUCACUCUUUUUGAUCUUUCAAUAUCCACAAAUGAAUAUCGAUCAUUCUAAGUUAUGGGAUUAUAUAUUUGGUUUAUAUAAAACCCCGCUCUAAUUACUAGUAAUUUUUCUUUUUCUAACCACCAUUAAUGGAGUUGAGAUCUAAUUUAACAAAUUUCAGCCUAACCAUUUUUAGAAAUUUAAAUAUCAUAAGAUUUAGGAAAAAUUACAUAAAUUCUCCAAUAAUUUUAUCUGAGUUUCACUUUCUUUCUAUACUUUCAUAAAUUACACUCUACAUCCUAUAUCAAACAAAAAAUUCAAACAAAAUACAUUAUUGAGGAUGUAAACUAUUAUUGAACAUAUAAACUAUAAGAUGAAAAGUGUAAUUUAUGAAAGUGUAGAGGAAAAAUGAAAUUCAUAUCAAACUAUAGAAGGGUUUUUAUAAUUAUCCCUAAAAUUUAUAUAUAUUUGAAUAUAUUAAAAUUUAUAUAUAUUUUGAUCCCAUUUGAAGAAGUACUGAAAAACCUUCAGACAUAAUAUGGAUUUUUUAUAGCUGCAUCCUUGGUGGGGUUGUGGAGUGACUAGGUUAGUCUCUGAUGAACUUCACUAAAAAGCUAAACGUUCACCUGAAAGAAACACGGCAUCACCAAACACGCAAAUAGCCUUAGAGUUAUUUUUGAUAUACUUAACACCAAGGACAGAGCCAGGAAUUUUUAUAGCCUGGGCUAUUAAAUAAAUAUAUAAUUUUUUUAAAGAUAAAUUAGUAAUUUAUUUACAUGAAUUUUGGAAGUUAACAGUAAAGUUUUAAUUCAAAUACACUACCUAAAAUAUUAAAAAAUAAAUUUAAAGGUACAUAAAAUUAAAGUGAAAGUAAAAAUAAACCAACUAUUGAAGUUACAUUCUUUGAUGUUUUGUGGAAUAUAAUUCAUUUAUAAUCGAAUCUGAAUCAAUAUUGUAACAACCCCUCAACCAUGAUAAAAUAACAAUCUCAUGUCAACUGGAAAACAAAGUAAUUAAAUUCUCUCUCUCUCUCAAUUCCUCCUUCCUUCACUUGAUUAUUUCUUAGAUUAGUGUUUUAUAAGUUCGACUUUGUAAGUUUACAAGGUUAUUCUCACAUUGUUUUUAUUUUUUUUCUUGGAUUUUUUUUUUAUGUUUUUCCCUUACUUUUCUCUCUUUAUCACUUAUUUUUUACUUUUAUUUUUUUUUUGUUAGCACUACCAAACUUUGUUCAUCCUAAAAUUUUAACCAGAUUUUAUUUAAUAUAUUUUAAGAUCCCUUAUAAAAGUUUAGCUCAAUCUGAUUGUCGGAUUGAAAAUUACACUCAAUAACGUAAAACUGGUCAAAUUGUGAUUUUUCAUUCAAAUUUCUUCAAAAAAUCUGAAAUUUUAACCCAAGCUAAAGUAUCAUAUUAAAAGGCUCCAUGUAAAUUUUCAGAAUUUUUUAAUAACUCAAUCAAGAAUUACAAAUUGUUUUUACAUAAAACUAGUAAAAAAAUAUUAAUAAAAUCUUGACCUGUGCUAUAGCCCACCCAAGCCUUUAUAUGCCUUCGUCCUUGCUUAACACUUGCUCAAGGAAUGGUAAUGGCGAGGGAUAUAAAUUCAUAUAAAAAUCACUGUGGUGAUUUGCAAGAGCAGAAAAUUUAAGGGGUUUUUUUGAGAAAUCUCUCGUGAACAGAUUGAGAGUGGUGGGAUUUUUGGGGUCCAUUCACUUGCCUGCCUUUUGGAUAAGAGUUGCUAAAUGGAAGCCAUCAAAAGACGAAGCACGUUUCCUGCAUGGUGUUUAAGAACCACACACAUAUAUAUAUAUAUAUAUAUAUAAAUGUUUGGCAUUCUGAGCGAAUAUUAGUUUUUCUUUUGUGGUGCAUCUGUGCCGUCCGUCCUUUCACUGUAUUUCAGGAGCGACACUAUUUCUGUCAUCGUUUUCGUGGGACCAGGUCGAAGAACACAACAUGUUUUCUUCUUUCCAGAGGCGCCUGCUUCAUUACUUACAAAGCCGACAAAAGUAUUUACUACACCGAAUGAUAUUAGAUUUACAAAAAAAUCUUUAGAAUAUUCAGGGAUAUUCCAGUCAGUAAAAUC
rnacentral:lncRNA from 1 species